AAAGGGCUUUGUGACAUAUGGCAACUCGUUCAAAGGCACACAGCUAAGGGUCAGCAGCAACACACUGCACUCCUGACUCCUGCUCUGAUACUUGCCUCACUGGAACCGUCAUCCCCUCUCAUGUGGCAAAUGCAGCUGGGUAUGUGGUCAGUGCAACCUGUACUUCUACAGCCACCAGCCUGCAGGCUGGACCCCAUUAGAGUGAGGAACGGAACCCCUGCUAGCCAGCCUCAGGUGACAAAACUGAGGCUCAGAGGCCAAUGGCCUUGUUCAAGGUCACACGCCCACUAAAUGAGAGACCCGGAGACCUGGCAUCACACGCUAACUAAGAAUACUGGAAGGAGAUAAGAUUGGGACUGAAAGACCUGGAUUGAAUGAUUUUUAUCAAGUCACUUCCCUUCCUUGGAUCUCCAUUUACUCAUCAAUAAACUAAGCAGAUUGGAUUAAAUGUUCUGUAAGGUGCCUUCUAGGUGAGGAAGAAGUUGGGAUAAGUCAUAAGGGUGAGGACUGAGGCCACAUUUCUGGAUGUCGUUUGAUGAAGGCAGAUUAUGAGCUAGGCUCAAAGCCUCCUCACCGC
rnacentral:lncRNA from 1 species